GGCCAGGGUCCUGUGCACCUGCCUGGCUGGCCCUGUCCCACCGCCCCCUGACCUACUGCCCUGUCAGAGAGGACCCUGGGGGCCAGGGAAUGACAUCACUUUCCCUUCUGUGGGGCUGGGUGCUCAUGGCUGCCCUGAGAACAGGUGCCAAUGCGAGCUUGGUGGAGCAAAGACCCAGGUGGGCCCUGGUACGUCGGGGACAGGCUGAAACCCUGAGCUGCUUCCUGAGGGAUGCCCAGUACCCCUGGAUGAGCUGGUACCAACAGGAUCUCCAGGGGCAACUCCAGGUGCUGGCCAGUCUGCGGUUUUCUGGGGACAAGGAUGAUGUAUCCCUUCCUGGAGCGGAUUACCAGGUCAUCCGGGUCGAUGACAAGGAGCUGAGGCUGCAGGUGGCCAAUGUGACCCAGGGCAGAACCCUGUAUUGCACCUGCAGCAAAGACACAGUGAGAAACCUUCCUUAG